rnacentral:rRNA from 1 species
UCCCUCAGAAUGGUUGGAAAUCAUUCAUAGAGUGUAAAGGCAUAAGGGAGCUUGACUGCGAGACCUACAAGUCGAGCAGGGUCGAAAGACGGACUUAGUGAUCCGGUGGUUCCGCAUGGAAGGGCCAUCGCUCAACGGAUAAAAGCUACCCCGGGGAUAACAGGCUUAUCUCCCCCAAGAGUUCACAUCGACGGGGAGGUUUGGCACCUCGAUGUCGGCUCAUCGCAUCCUGGGGCUGUAGUCGGUCCCAAGGGUUGGGCUGUUCGCCCAUUAAAGCGGUACGCGAGCUGGGUUCAGAACGUCGUGAGACAGUUCGGUCCCUAUCCGUCGUGGGCGUAGGAAAUUUGAGAGGAGCUGUCCUUAGUACGAGAGGACCGGGAUGGACAUACCUCUGGUGUACCAGUUGUCGUGCCAACGGCAUAGCUGGGUAGCUAUGUGUGGACGGGAUAAGUGCUGAAAGCAUCUAAGCAUGAAGCCCCCCUCAAGAUGAGAUUUCCCAACUUCGGUUAUAAGAUCCCUCAAAGAUGAUGAGGUUAAUAGGUUCGAGGUGGAAGCAUGGUGACAUGUGGAGCUGACGAAUACUAAUCGAUCGAAGACUUAAUCAA